rnacentral:misc_RNA from 1 species
GAUGAAGAACGUAGCGAAACGCGAAAGGUAAUGCGAAUUGCAGAAUUCAGUGAAUCAUCGAAUCUUUGAACGCACAUUGCGCCCCCUGGUAUUCCGGGGGGCAUGCCUGUUCGAGCGUCAUUUCACCACUCAAGCCUCGCUUGGUAUUGGGCAACGCGGUCCGCCGCGUGCCUCAAAUCGUCCGGCUGGGUCUUCUGUCCCCUAAGCGUUGUGGAAACUAUUCGCUAAAGGGUGUUCGGGAGGCUACGCCGUAAAACAACCCCAUUUCUAAGGUUGACCUCGGAUCAGGUAGGGAUACCCGCUGAACUUAAGCAUAUCAAUAAGCGGAGGA